GACGAACGCUGGCGGCAUGCCUAACACAUGCAAGUCGAACGAGACCUUCGGGUCUAGUGGCGCACUGGUGCGUAACGCGUGGGAAUCUGCCCUCGGGUUCGGAAUAACUCGCCGAAAGGCGUGCUAAUACCGGAUGAUGUCGUAAGACCAAAGAUUUAUCGCCCAGGGAUGAGCCCGCGUAAGAUUAGGUAGUUGGUGAGGUAAAGGCCCACCAAGGCGAUGAUCAGUAGCCGGUCUGAGAGGAUGAACGGCCACAUUGGGACUGAGACACGGCCCAG
rnacentral:rRNA from 1 species